AAAAGUACUAACAACACUCCUAUGUGACCUGCUAAGGACCCAGGACCCAGGACUUCACACGAACACCCUGGCUUUUACCGCCAGGUUCCAGGAAGAUAACAACUGUAGCUGAGAAAUACCAGGAUGUCUGUCGAAUCCUACACACUGUGGCCUUCGGUUAUCUCAGAGUACCGAUACGAACAGGGAAUGGCCAGGCAGAGGGGAGCAUAAGAAGAGGACCCAAGAAUUCUUCUGAUUAUAUUUAUUCAUUGCACAUA
rnacentral:lncRNA from 1 species